rnacentral:rRNA from 1 species
GCGUCGCUUGGUGAUCAUAAUAACUUCUCGAAUCGCAUGGCCUUGUGCCGGCGAUGCAUUCAUUCAAAUAUCUGCCCUAUCAACUUUCGAUGGUAGGAUAGUGGCCUACCAUGGUUUUAACGGGUAACGGGGAAUAAGGGUUCGAUUCCGGAGAGGGAGCCUGAGAAACGGUACCACAUCCAAGGAAGGCAGCAGGCGCGCAAAUUACCCAAUCCCAAUUCGGGGAGGUAGUGACAAUAAAUAACAAUAUAGGGCUCUUUUGGGUCUUAUAAUUGGAAUGAGUACAAUUUAAAUCACUUAACGAGGAACAAUUGGAGGGCAAGUCUGGUGCCAGCAGCCGCGGUAAUUCCAGCUCCAAUAGCGUAUAUUAGAGUUGUUGCAGUUAAAAAGCUCGUAGUUGAACCUUGGGCCUGGCUGGCCGGUCCGCCUCACCGCGUGCACUGGUCCGGCCGGGCCUUUCCUUCUGGGGAGCCGCAUGCCCUUCACUGGGUGUGUCGGGGAACCAGGACUUUUACCUUUGAAACAAUUAGAGUGUUCAAAGCAGGCCUUUGCUCGGAUACAUUAGCAUGGAAUAAUAGAAUAGGACGUGCGGUCCUAUUUUGGUGGUUUCAUAGGACCGGCGUAAUGAUUAAUAGGGGAUA